CAGGUCAUCUGUUAGCCAGGCUAACCUUUCAACUACUAGCUGAUGUGAUAGAAGGCUCUCAGCUAAGGUGUGGAGUUCCUGCCCCAUUAUUGCAGAGGUGUCAAUCAUCUUCUGAGUGAGGGCAGCUUCAGUCUCUUCUAUUUGUUUUAGCCACUGUAUGAAAAUGAUGGUGACAAAAUAAAAUCAGAGGCUGCAACACAGCUUAUGCCAAACGUUUGGCUGGAAAAAUGACAACGUAGAAGAGAUUCUGACUUCAACCAACAUUAACAGCAAAAUUCCCAUCUCAUUCCAAAACAAUAGUAAUUCCUCCAGUUAAUUGCAGGGAAUUUAGCCCGAUUUCCAAGAUAACCAGAAGGCGUUUGUGAGAGGAAUGUGUGAAGUUGCCUGCAGCUGAGUCAGACCAGUGGCCCACCUAGCUCAGGACUGUCUGCUUAGACAGUCAGCAACUUGCCAAGUUCUCAGGCACGGGCACUUGUCAGCCCUCCUACCUCCCUAACUGGAUGAUAGGGAUUGAACCUAGAAACUCAUAGAUGAAAAGAAUGGACUCUGCUAUGCUGCUUCCUCAAUGGACAAGGUUCUCACUGGAAUCCAAUUUUUCCACAACAGUCAAGGAAGAUAAAUAUAAAAUUAGACUAAAAUUGGUUUAAAAAACCCUCAUCUGCAUCCAUUAGGAUUCUCAUGAACCUGUAGUCAUGUCCAGUGGUUGUUCUGGCUUUGUGGACAAGUUAAUACUGGUAAGUAAUGAUACCUGUUAAAAGGUUCAUGAUCCUUAUACAAGGAUCAUCAAACAAGACUAGCUAAAUAAAAUAGUAGAACCAACAUUUUUCAGUUACACACACGUGGAAUGUCUACACAGCAUGACAAUGUGGUGAAAGCUUUCCUCUCCAUGGAAAGCUAUAUAUGCCAAGGUUUCUGAGGUCAUGCAAGAGGCAAAAUUACAAAUAAACUACAACUGGUUUUGUGACAUUUGCUCCAAAGAUACAAAUCAUGUUAGACUAACCACUUUUUGAUCAGGAUUAUGUAUUGUAAUGGUACAAACAUGAUAAUACUUCCUAUAUUCUUCUCAAAACAUCCAAGUAACAUUUUGGCUCCCUCGUAGUACAUGGGGCUCACAUUUUUUAAAAUAAGCAAUUUGAUACAAUACCACUAUCAUUCACUGAGGGUCAGCUCAAGGUGUGAGGGGGCCCAUGAUAAAUGAGCUUCAUAGGCAGAUCCUAGAUUAUUUUGGCAUGGGGGCAGGGUGUCUCCAUAUCUAUGAAUGAGAGCUUUCCUCUAGAGAUCACUCUGAUGAUACAGGGGCCUCUACAAGACCAUUUGCAGACUGAGAAAAUGCUUAGAAGAGAUGACAGAACAAGUUGCUUUGCUGAGUGAGACCACCCUGUCAACAUCUGCCCUCCCAUCCAGAAAUGGGCUUCCUC